rnacentral:rRNA from 1 species
GAUGAACGCUGGCGGCGUGCUUAACACAUGCAAGUCGAACGGUGAAGCAGGAGCUUGCUCUUGUGGAUCGGUGGUGAACGGGUGAGUAACACGUGAGCAACCUGCCCCUGACUCUGGGAUAAGCGCUGGAAACGGCGUCUAAUACUGGAUAUGUGAUGUGACCGCAUGGUCUGCAUCUGGAAAGAAUUUCGGUUGGGGAUGGGCUCGCGGCCUAUCAGCUUGUUGGUGAGGUAAUGGCUCACCAAGGCGUCGACGGGUAGCCGGCCUGAGAGGGUGACCGGCCACACUGGGACUGAGACACGGCCCAGACUCCUACGGGAGGCAGCAGUGGGGAAUAUUGCACAAUGGGCGGAAGCCUGAUGCAGCGACGCCGCGUGAGGGAUGACGGCCUUCGGGUUGUAAACCUCUUUUAGCAGGGAAGAAGCGAAAGUGACGGUACCUGCAGAAAAAGCACCGGCUAACUACGUGCCAGCCGCCGCAGUAA